AAUGAACGCUGGCGGCGCGCCUAAUACAUGCAAGUCGAGCGAGAAGACGUAGCAAUACGUUUGUAAAGCGGCGAACGGGUGAGGAAUACAUGGGUAACCUACCCUCGAGUGGGGAAGUAACUAGCCGAAAGGUUAGCUAAUACCGCGUACGCUCCUUGGACUUCGGUUCAGGGAGGAAAGCGAUACCGUGGGUAUCGCGCUCUUGGUUGGGCUCAUGUCCUAUCAGCUUGUUGGUGAGGAACGGCUCACCAAGGCUUCGACGGGUAGCUGGUCUGAGAGGACGAUCAGCCACACUGGCACUGCGACACGGGCCAGACUCCUACGGGAGGCAGCAGUAAGGAAUAUUGCGCAAUGGGCGAAAGCCUGACGCAGCGACGCCGCGUGGGGGA
rnacentral:rRNA from 1 species